GAUGAACGCUGGCGGCGUGCCUAAUACAUGCAAGUCGAGCGAACAGACGAGGAGCUUGCUCCUCUGACGUUAGCGGCGGACGGGUGAGUAACACGUGGAUAACCUACCUAUAAGACUGGGAUAACUUCGGGAAACCGGAGCUAAUACCGGAUAAUAUAUUGAACCGCAUGGUUCAAUAGUGAAAGACGGUUUUGCUGUCACUUAUAGAUGGAUCCGCGCCGCAUUAGCUAGUUGGUAAGGUAACGGCUUACCAAGGCAACGAUGCGUAGCCGACCUGAGAGGGUGAUCGGCCACACUGGAACUGAGACGCGGCCCAGACUCCUACGGGAGGCAGCAGUAGGGAAUCUUCCGCAAGGGGCGAAAGCCUGACGGAGCAACGCCGCGUGAGUGAUGAAGGUCUUCGGAUCGUAAAACUCUGUUAUUAGGGAAGAACAAAUGUGUAAGUAACUAUGCACGUCUUGACGGUACCUAAUCAGAAAGCCACGGCUAACUACGUG
rnacentral:rRNA from 1 species